rnacentral:lncRNA from 1 species
CCAUGGCCCCAGUGGGUGGUGAAACCGGAAAGGGGAGGGGUCAGGGUGGCUGCCGAGAGAGGUGCCAGAGUGGUGGGUGGGUGGCCUGGAUUGAUCUCACCCCCAGGAUGGGCAUUUUCUGGCCUGAGCUCUAGGUGGCCACGUGGACCAUAGACCAAAGAGGUCUCCCAGCCUCCAUUCUCACCUCGCUGGUCCACCCUCCCCGGACUGUCUAUGGCCUCCUGACUGUGCCGCUCCCUGCCUACACCCUCUGUGGCUCCCACAGGCCUCGAGAAGAAGCCCAGGCGUGGGCAGGGUGAUCCGCCACGUAGCCGCUCUGAGCCUCAGUGUCCUGAUCCGUAAAGAAGCAACAAUAGAAGGCCCGAUCCCCGGAGUUUCUAUGGAAUUUAAGUUGCCCUCGCAGGGGCCAAGCUGGGAGCCAACGCACGGGAGAUCCCGGAACGCCGAGCUGCUGUCAGCACCACGAUGACAG